GACGAACGCUGGCGGCGUGCCUAAUACAUGCAAGUAGAACGCUGAAGGAGGAGCUUGCUUCUCUGGAUGAGUUGCGAACGGGUGAGUAACGCGUAGGUAACCUGCCUGGUAGCGGGGGAUAACUAUUGGAAACGAUAGCUAAUACCGCAUAAGAGUAGAUGUUGCAUGACAUUUGCUUAAAAGGUGCAAUUGCAUCACUACCAGAUGGACCUGCGUUGUAUUAGCUAGUUGGUGAGGUAACGGCUCACCAAGGCGACGAUACAUAGCCGACCUGAGAGGGGGAUCGGCCACACUGGGACUGGGACACGGCCCAGACUCCUACGGGAGGCAGCAGUAGGGAAUCUUCGGCAAUGGACGGAAGUCUGACCGAGCAACGCCGCGUGAGUGAAGAAGGUUUUCGGAUCGUAAAGCUCUGUUGUAAGAGAAGAACGAGUGUGAGAGUGGAAAGUUCACACUGUGACGGUAUCUUACCAGAAAGGGACGGCUAACUACGUG
rnacentral:rRNA from 1 species